UUUCCUACGGGACGCAGCAGUGGGGAAUAUUGCACAAUGGGGGAAACCCUGAUGCAGCGACGCCGCGUGAGCGAUGAAGUAUUUCGGUAUGUAAAGCUCUAUCAGCAGGGAAGAAAAUGACGGUACCUGACUAAGAAGCCCCGGCUAACUACGUGCCAGCAGCCGCGGUAAUACGUAGGUGGCAAGCGUUGUCCGGAUUUACUGGGUGUAAAGGGCGUGUAGCCGGGUUGACAAGUCAGAUGUGAAAUCCUGCGGCUUAACCGCAGAACUGCAUUUGAAACUGUUGAUCUUGAGUACUGGAGAGG
rnacentral:rRNA from 1 species